GCUCUUGCAUCGAUGAAGAACGUAGCGAAAUGCGAUACUUGGUGUGAAUUGCAGAAUCCCGUGAACCAUCGAGUCUUUGAACGCAAGUUGCGCCCGAAGCCAUUAGGCCGAGGGCACGCCUGCCUGGGUGUUGCACAUCGUUGCCCCUAUGCCUUAGCCACGU
rnacentral:rRNA from 1 species